AGUGAACGCUGGCGGUAGGCCUAACACAUGCAAGUCGAACGGCAGCACAGUAAGAGCUUGCUCUUACGGGUGGCGAGUGGCGGACGGGUGAGGAAUACAUCGGAAUCUACUUUUUCGUGGGGGAUAACGUAGGGAAACUUACGCUAAUACCGCAUACGACCUACGGGUGAAAGCAGGGGAUAUUUGGACCUUGCGCGAUUGAAUGAGCCGAUGUCGGAUUAGCUAGUUGGCGGGGUAAAGGCCCACCAAGGCGACGAUCCGUAGCUGGUCUGAGAGGAUGAUCAGCCACACUGGAACUGAGACACGGUCCAGACUCCUACGGGAGGCAGCAGUGGGGAAUAUUGGACAAUGGGCGCAAGCCUGAUCCAGCCAUACCGCGUGGGUGAAGAAGGCCUUCGGGUUGUAAAGCCCUUUUGUUGGGAAAGAAAAGCAGCAGGUUAAUACCCCGCUGUUCUGACGGUACCCAAAGAAUAAGCACCGGCUAACUUCGUG
rnacentral:rRNA from 1 species